CUUUCAAUAUCUUGAUAAAACGAAUUCAAAAUCAAUGUACGGUGCUUUGUGAAUAUUACUUGGAUUUUAGCAGUGUUUAAUAAUGAGAAACAUACAAUAGUUACAUCGAAUGUUGGUGCCGAACUGUUCAGGUAUUCAGUUCAUACGUCUACAUUAACUAUCCGGACUUAAAUGCGGAUUUGGUUCUAAAUUUAGGAGAAACAACAUGGCGACUUCGGUAGAGCGAUGGAUGUGUGACGAGCUUUCGAAGCUCGGUUUGCCGGCUUCAGAGGAUAAUGCAAAGUACAUUUUAAGCAUUGGAAAUGCAGGAGAGAUCCAGGAAUAUAUGUUGGAGCUGUUAGAUGGAUCUGAUCCUAGAGUUAGAACAUUCAUCAGUCAGCUGAUACAGAAAUGGAGACCACAAGAAAAACCUCCUGAUAAUAUAUAACUUGUUAUGUCAAGCUAAAAAAACAUUAAUAUUUGGUUACAAGUUUUGUCGGGUCGGGAGACAGUCCAUCCGGUACGCCAUUCGUCUACGUCAUCGGACAAGCCACGGGAUCUCUCUCCGUUUAUAAUGUUGUUGAUGUACCUGACAUAUUCUAAAAAAAAAUUUUACCAAAUUUUUUUUUAUUUUCUGUCUUGUGUUUUGUUAUUUGUUACACUAACUUAAUAAAAAUAAAAAUUACUAAUAUUUCAA